AGAGUUUGAUCCUGGCUCAGAUUGAACGCUGGCGGCAGGCCUAACACAUGCAAGUCGAACGGUAACAUUUCUAGCUUGCUAGAAGAUGACGAGUGGCGGACGGGUGAGUAAUGCUUGGGAACUUGCCUUUGCGAGGGGGAUAACAGUUGGAAACGACUGCUAAUACCGCAUAAUGUCUUUGAGAUUCGGUCUGAAAGACCAAACGGGGCUUCGGCUCCGGCGCAAAGAGAGGCCCAAGUGAGAUUAGCUAGUUGGUAAGGUAACGGCUUACCAAGGCGACGAUCUCUAGCUGUUCUGAGAGGAAGAUCAGCCACACUGGGACUGAGACACGGCCCAGACUCCUACGGGAGGCAGCAGUGGGGAAUAUUGCACAAUGGGGGAAACCCUGAUGCAGCCAUGCCGCGUGUGUGAAGAAGGCCUUCGGGUUGUAAAGCACUUUCAGUUGUGAGGAAAAGUUAGUAGUUAAUACCUGCUAGCCGUGACGUUAGCAACAGAAGAAGCACCGGCUAACUCCGUGCCAGCAGCCGCGGUAAUACGGAGGGUGCGAGCGUUAAUCGGAAUUACUGGGCGUAAAGCGCACGCAGGCGGUUUGUUAAGCUAGAUGUGAAAGCCCCGGGCUCAACCUGGGAUGGUCAUUUAGAACUGGCAGACUAGAGUCUUGGAGAGGGGAGUGGAAUUCCAGGUGUAGCGGUGAAAUGCGUAGAUAUCUGGAGGAACAUCAGUGGCGAAAGGCGACUCCCUGGCCAAAGACUGACGCUCAUGUGCGAAAGUGUGGGUGGCGAACAGGAUUAGAUACCCUGGUAGUCCACACCGUAAACGCUGUCUACUAGCUGUGUGUGUCUUUAAGACGUGCG
rnacentral:rRNA from 1 species